GUCUCCUACGGGGGGCAGCAGUGGGGAAUAUUGGGCAAUGGGCGCAAGCCUGACCCAGCAACGCCGCGUGAAGGAAGAAGGCUUUCGGGUUGUAAACUUCUUUUCUCAGGGACGAAGCAAGUGACGGUACCUGAGGAAUAAGCCACGGCUAACUACGUGCCAGCAGCCGCGGUAAUACGUAGGUGGCAAGCUUUAUCCGGAUUUACUGGGUGUAAAGGGCGUGUAGGCGGGGACGCAAGUCAGAUGUGAAAACCACGGGCUCAACCUGUGGCCUGCAUUUGAAACUGUGUUUCU
rnacentral:rRNA from 1 species